GUACGCUGGCGGCACGCCUAACACAUGCAAGUCGAACGCAGUAGCAAUACUGAGUGGCGAACGGGUGAGUAUAAUGUGGGUAUCUGCCUUUUGGUUUGGAAUAACACGGGGAAACUUGUGCUAAUACCGGAUAAGCCUUAACAGGGAAAGUUUUAACGCCAAAAGAUGAGCCCGCACUUGAUUAGCUAGUUGGUAAGGUAAUGGCUUACCAAGGCUACGAUCAAUAGCUGAUCUGAGAGGAUGAUCAGCCACAUUGGGACUGAGACACGGCCCAAACUCCUACGGGAGGCAGCAGUGGGGAAUCUUGCACAAUGGGGGAAACCCUGAUGCAGCGAUGCCGCGUGAGUGAAGAAGGCCUUUGGGUUGUAAAGCUCUUUCGUCGGGGAAGAAAAUGACUGUACCCGAAUAAGAAG
rnacentral:rRNA from 1 species